AACAAAACAAAGAUUAAAAAAAUCAUUUUUUACAGUUUGUCUGCUCCUGCAGCCUGAUCGGAUCAGAUACACAGAAACUGGUUUUUAUCUUUUUAGCGUCACCAACUCUUCCCGCGGAUAUAGGUUUCUUCCUGAUUCAUGCUGACAACAAAUUAAGUAACACAGAAGACGGAUGAGACCUUGACAAGCAGCAAUUAGGUAACUAGAAUGCUAACACGAGUUGAGGACUUCUGAAGCUUUUAGAGGAUGAACAGACAGAAUUAAGAGGAUGAUCAGCUGAAGACGAAGGACAGAUGGAAGAAUUAAAUAUUGAUAUGUACAGCAGUGAAAGCAGAGUGAGUGAUCUGAGGAUCGUUCUUCUGGGGAAAAGCGUGUCAGAAAACAGCGAGGUGGGAAACUUCAUCUUGGGCCGAUCAGCAUUUGACAGUGAAGCUCCUCCAGGUGUUGUGGAGAGAGUCGGAGGAAGACUGAGGGACAGACACGUGACGCUCAUCAACAGUCCUCAGCUGCUCCACACAAACAUCUCAGAUGACCAGAUCACACAGACGGUCAGAGAGUGUGUGAGUCUGUCUGAUCCAGGACCUCAUGUGGUGGUUCUGCUCCUCCAACAUCAGCAGUGCUCAGCGGAAGAUCAAGAGCGUGUGGAGAAGCUGCAGGACUCUUUCUCUGAGCGUCUUUUUCAACACACCAUGGUGCUCAGCACACAAGAGUCCACUGAACCCAAUGAGAUCCUGCAGAAAAUCAUCCAGACGUGCUCAAACAGACACUUCAGUCUUCAGAGAAGCAGCUCUGCUGAUGAUCUUCUGGAGGCCUUUGAGGACAUCGAGCAGAGCAAUGAUGGACGGUACCUGAUUUGUGCUCAAUAUGAAGCUUCACAGUGUUUUACAGUGGAUAAUCAGAUCACAAGAAGAGGCGAGUAUGAUGAAAUCUGAUGUUUUAUCGAUAUAUGAACACU
ensembl:processed_transcript